ensembl:lncRNA
CACCUGGUCUCACUCCUGAGAGCAUGCAAACUCCAUCAGCAUUGCAGAUGCCUGGAUGGCUCCCAGAGUGAUGGGACAGCUGGAGGAGAGGAGACACGGCCUUCUUCUGGGACCAGGCCUUUCCUGCGGGAUCGAGGCCUUUCCAGUGGAUCAAGGCCUUCUGCACCAGUCUGGUUCUGGGUGUGAGGAGAUGAGGCAGGGCAGGCUCAGUGCACCCAGUACUUGCUGUCCUUGGAUCCUCAGUUCAGAGGAAGCUGCUGACCAUCGCAAGCCAAAGCUCUUUGUUUUGCUUCCAUUGGUCCGCUGUAAUGCAAUUUUGUGUUCACCCUGCCAGCUGCCCGCAUAAAAGCAAUAUUUAAUUAUACAGCUUCUUUGAAAGUAGAUGCGGGUCAGGUCCUCUUGUGAUGGAAAUGGUGCCGCUCCCCAGAAGGAUGCUGAUAUCUUUCUGGCAAUGUCUUUUCUUAUCCAGUACCAAUUUGGCUGAAUCCAUGAUCUUAUUUGACAGACAAGUUAAGAAAUGUUUUCGACUAUGUUUUUGGAUGUGUUUAACCACUAACAGUUUACUCGUAAACAAAUUCCCUUGCUGAAAAGAUCAGUCUAGGAUUUUUGUGAAGUUCUGUUUUAUGUCUUGUUUUGUUCUGUGAAGCAAACCUUCCUGGUGGAGGCAGAGGCCACCCCAGAGGUGGGGUACGGUGGGCUCGGUGCUGCCCGCAGGGACAGCACUGCUCAUGUGUUCUGAAGCACCCAGCAGCCCUCCCCUCCCUUAUUGCUUUCAGGGAGAGAAAUGGAACAGCUUCAUUCCUAUCACACCAGGCCUACGCCCUGCUCCGGUGUGAGCACAGUGCUCCAGCACUGAAUUAGGGCAUCUAAAGAAAGCAUUCACCGCUCUCUGGGAACUUAACGAGUGACUUUUGCUGGGAAUUUGAUUUAGUGCAACAAUGACUAAUUAUGAGGUGAAAUACUAAGCAUAACAUUGAAAUGACUUUCCCAUCAGUAGAAAAAUAAAAAUAUGCUUCCAUCAAUAUUCCCAUUAAAUAUAUACAGCGUUGUCACUCCGUGGCUUUACUGUAAUAACAUUGCUUUCUGAGAGUCAUUUCAGAUUAGGGAUACAAGUUUAACAUGAUUUAGUAUGUUGUAACUCUAAAUCCUCACUGACAGCUUUAAGAGUGGGGAAGUUCAGCCUGGAGUGGACAUAAUCUAAUGUAUGCUGAGGAACCAGGGGCUGAAUCCUUGCGAAAAAGAACCAUUCUGGUGGGUGGUUGGUGAGGAGAAGUUCUUUUUGGAACCAACAGGACAGGGGCUGCCAUGCAGCGUGGGUUCUGAAGCACAGAUAUGUUGUGAUAUGUCAUGAUAUAUGAGUGACGUGUUGAAGAUGGCAUUUAGCUGGUGUUGUUUCACCUCCAGAUACUCAGUAAUCCAAACCAAAUGACAAGCU